GGAUUCUGAAGGUGUUUUUGAUGCUUUCUUAACGCCGUUAACCUCGAUGCACUUUUUCGCUCGAAACAAAACGGCAAGAAAAUCAUGCGCGCCCCACGGCCUUACACUUGGAUUGGCCGCGAAAAGGAUAUAUAGAAACAAGAGUGAUGUACUGUCGGGUGCGAUCAUACCAGCACUAAUGCACCGGAUCCCAUCAGAACUCCGCAGUUAAGCGUGCUUGGGCGAGAGUAGUACUAGGAUGGGUGACCUCCCGGGAAGUCCUCGUGUUGCACCCCUUUUUUUUUUUAAUUUUUUUUUGCCUAAAACGAGUCUAAACUGAAAACCCAUAACUUUUGAACCGUGAGGAACUACGUCGCCCAUAGCACCAUUUCGGAAGAGCCCCAGAAACCAUAAUGGGCGGUGAAUAGGGGGCGCAAUUUUUCGGGCUCAAAUUCAGCCGUUUUGACCCUCAAACGGGCUGCGGAAAGUUAUGGCACGUAAAAAAGAUCGAAAGCGGAUUCUCAAGGUGUUUUUGAUGCUUUCUUAACGCCGUUAACCUCGAUGCACUUUUUUUCGCUCGAAACAAAACGGCAAGAAAAUCAUGCGCGCCCCACGGCCUUACACUUGGAUUGGCCGCGAAAAGGAUAUAUAGAAACGAGAGUGAUGUACUGACGGGUGCGAUCAUACCAGCACUAAUGCACCGGAUCCCAUCAGAACUCCGCAGUCAAGCGUGCUUGGGCGAGAGUAGUACUAGGAUGGGUGACCUCCCGGGAAGUCCUCGUGUUGCACCCCUUUUUAUUUUUUUAAUUUUUUUUUAGCCUAAAACGAGUCUAAACUUGAAAACCUCAUAACUUUUGAACCGUGAGGAACUACGUCGCCCAUAGCACCAUUUCGGAGAGCCCCAGAAACCAUAAUGGGCGGUGAAUAGGGGGCGCAAUUUUUCGGGCUCAAAUUCAGCCGUUUUGACCCUCAAACGGGCUGCGGAAAGUUAUGGCACGUAAAAAAGAUCGAAAGCGGAUUCUCAAGUGUUUUUGAUGCUUUCUUAACGCCGUUAACCUCGAUGCACUUUUUCGCUCGAAACAAAACGGCAAGAAAAUCAUGCGCGCCCCACGGCCUUACACUUGGAUUGGCGCGAAAAGGAUAUAUAGAAACGAGAGUGAUGUACUGACGGGUGCGAUCAUACCAGCACUAAUGCACCGGAUCCCAUCAGAACUCCGCAGUUAAGCGUGCUUGGGCGAGAGUAGUACUAGGAUGGGUGACCUCCCGGGAAGUCCUCGUGUGUUGCACCCCUUUUUAUUUUUAAUUUUUUUUAGCCUAAAACGAGUCUAAACUUGAAAACCUCAUAACUUUUGAACCGUGAGGAACUACGUCGCCCAUAGCACCAUUUCGGAAAGCCCCAGAAACCAUAAUGGGCGGUGAAUAGGGGGCGCAAUUUUUCGGGCUCAAAUUCAGCCGUUUUGACCCUCAAACGGGCUGCGGAAAGUUAUGGCACGUAAAAAAGAUCGAAAGCGGAUUCUCAAGGUGUUUUUGAUGCUUUCUUAACGCCGUUAACCUCGAUGCACUUUUUCGCUCGAAACAAAACGGCAAGAAAAUCAUGCGCGCCCACGGCCUUACACUUGGAUUGGCCGCGAAAAGGAUAUAUAGAAAGAAACGAGUGAUGUACUGACGGGUGCGAUCAUACCAGCACUAAUGCACCGGAUCCCAUCAGAACUCCGCAGUUAAGCGUGCUUGGGCGAGAGUAGUACUAGGAUGGGUGACCUCCCGGGAAGUCCUCGUGUUGCACCCCUUUUUAUUUUUUAAUUUUUUUUUAGCCUAAACGAGUCUAAACUUGAAAACCUCAUAACUUUUGAACCGUGAGGAACUACGUCGCCCAUAGCACCAUUUCGGAAAGCCCCAGAAACCAUAAUGGGCGGGUGAAUAGGGGGCGCAAUUUUUCGGGCUCAAAUUCAGCCGUUUUGACCCUCAAACGGGCUGCGGAAAGUUAUGGCACGUAAAAAAGAUCGAAAGCGGAUUCUCAAGGUGUUUUGAUGCUUUCUUAACGCCGUUAACCUCGAUGCACUUUUUCGCUCGAAACAAACGGCAAGAAAAUCAUGCGCGCCCCACGGCCUUACACUUGGAUUGGCCGCGAAAAGGAUAUAUAGAAACGAGAGUGAUGUACUGACGGGUGCGAUCAUACCAGCACUAAUGCACCGGAUCCAUCAGAACUCCGCAGUUAAGCGUGCUUGGGCGAGAGUAGUACUAGGAUGGGUGACCUCCCGGGAAGUCCUCGUGUUGCACCCCUUUUUAUUUUUUAAUUUUUUUUUAGCCUAAAACGAGUCUAAACUUGAAAACCCCAUAACUUUUGAACCGUGAGGAACUACGUCGCCCAUAGCACCAUUUCGGAAAGCCCCAGAAACCAUAAUGGGCGGUGAAUAGGGGGCGCAAUUUUUCGGGCUCAAAUUCAGCCGUUUUGACCCUCAAACGGGCUGCGGAAAGUUAUGGCAGAAAAAAAAAGACCGAAAGCGGAUUUUCAAGGUGUUUUUGAUGCUUUCUUAACGCCGUUAACCUCGAUGCACUUUUUCGCUCGAAACAAAACGGCAAGAAAAUCAUGCGCGCCCCACGGCCUUACACUUGGAUUGGCCGCGAAAAGGAUAUAUAGAAACGAGAGUGAUGUACUGUCGGGUGCGAUCAUACCAGCACUAAUGCACCGGAUCCCAUCAGAACUCCGCAGUUAAGCGUGCUUGGGCGAGAGUAGUACUAGGAUGGGUGACCUCCCGGGAAGUCCUCGUGUUGCACCCCUUUUUAUUUUUUAAUUUUUUUAGCCUAAAACGAGUCUAAACUUGAAAACCUCAUAACUUUUGAACCGUGAGGAACUACGUCGCCCAUAGCACCAUUUCGGAAAGCCCCAGAAACCAUAAUGGGCGGUGAAUAGGGGGCGCAAUUUUCGGGCUCAAAUUCAGCCGUUUUGACCCUCAAACGGGCUGCGGAAAGUUAUGGCACGUAAAAAAGAUCGAAAGCGGAUUCUCAAGGUGUUUUUAAUGCUUUCUUAACGCCGUUAACCUCGAUGCACUUUUUCGCUCGAAACAAAACGGCAAGAAAUCAUGCGCGCCCCACGGCCUUACACUUGGAUUGGCCGCGAAAAGGAUAUAUAGAAACGAGAGUGAUGUACUGACGGGUGCGAUCAUACCAGCACUAAUGCACCGGAUCCCAUCAGAACUCCGCAGUUAAGCGUGCUUGGGCGAGAGUAGUAGUACUAGGAUGGGUGACCUCCCGGGAAGUCCUCGUGUUGCACCCCUUUUAUUUUUUAAUUUUUUUUUGCCUAAAACGAGUCUAAACUUGAAAAACCUCAUAACUUUUGAACCGUGAGGAACUACGUCGCCCAUAGCACCAUUUCGGAAAGCCCCAGAAACCAUAAUGGGCGGUGAGGUGAAUAGGGGGCGCAAUUUUUCGGGCUCAAAUUCAGCCGUUUGACCCUCAAACGGGCUGCGGGCGGAAAGUUAUGGCACGUAAAAAAGAUCGAAAGCGGAUUCUCAAGGUGUUUUUGAUGCUUUCUAACGCCGUUAACCUCGAUGCACUUUUUCGCUCGAAACAAAACGGCAAGAAAAUCAUGCGGCCCCACGGCCUUACACUUGGAUUGGCCGCGAAAAGGAUAUAUAGAAACGAGAGUGAUGUACUGACGGGUGCGAUCAUACCAGCACUAAUGCACGGAUCCCAUCAGAACUCCGCAGUUAAGCGUGCUUGGGCGAGAGUAGUACUAGGAUGGGGACCUCCCGGGAAGUCCUCGUGUUGCACCCCUUUUUAUUUUUUAAUUUUUUUUUAGCCUAAAACGAGUCUAAACUUGAAAACCUCAUAACUUUUGAACCGUGAGGAACUACGUCGCCCAUAGCACCAUUUCGGAAAGCCCCAGAAACCAUAAUGGCGGGUGAUGAAGGGGCGCAAUUUUCGGGCUCAAAUUCAGCCGUUUUGACCCUCAAACGGGCUGCGGAAAGUUAUGGCACGUAAAAAAGAUCGAAAGCGGAUUCUCAAGGUGUUUUUGAUGCUUUCUUAACGCCGUUAACCUCGAUGCACUUUUUCGCUCGAAACAAAACGGCAAGAAAAUCAUGCGCGCCCCCACGGCCUUACACUUGGAUUGGCCGCGCGAAAAGGAUAUAUAGAAACGAGAGUGAUGUACUGUCGGGUGCGAUCAUACCAGCACUAAUGCACCGGAUCCCAUCAGAACUCCGCAGUUAAGCGUGCUUGGGCGAGAGUAGUACUAGGAUGGGUGACCUCCCGGGAAGUCCUCGUGUUGCACCCCUUUUUAUUUUUUAAUUUUUUUUAGCCUAAAACGAGUAUAAACUUGAAAACCUGAAACUUUUGAACCGUGAGGAACUACGUCGCCCAUAGCACCAUUUCGGAGAGCCCCAGAAACCAUAAUGGGCGGUGAAUAGGGGGCGCAAUUUUUCGGGCUCAAAUUCAGCCGUUUUGACCCUCAAACGGGCUGCGGAAAGUUAUGGCACGUAAAAAAGAUCGAAAGCGGAUUCUCAAGGUGUUUUUGAUGCUUUCUUAACGCCGUUAACCUCGAUGCACUUUUUCGCUCGAAACAAAACGGCAAAAAAAAUCAUGUGGGCCCCACGGCCUUACACUUGGAUUGGCCGGGGAAAGGAUAUAUAGAAACGAGAGUGAUGUACUGACGGGUGCGAUCAUACCAGCACUAAUGCACCGGAUCCCAUCAGAACUCCGCAGUGAAGCGUGCUUGGGCGAGAGUAGUAUUAGGAUGGGUGACCUCCCGGGAAGUCCUCGUGUUGCACCCCUUUUUAUUUUAUAAUUUUUUUUUAGCCUAAAACGAGUCUAAACUUGAAAACCUCAUAACUUUUGAACCGUGAGGAACUACGUCGCCCAUAGCACCAUUUCGGAAAGCCCCAGAAACCAUAAUGGUGGUGCGGUGAAUAGGGGGCAAUCGCAAUUUUUCGGGCUCAAAUUCAGCCGUUUUGACCCUCAAACGGGCUGCGGAAAGUUAUGGCACGUAAAAAAGAUCGAAAGCGGAUUCUCAAGGUGUUUUUGAUGCUUUCUUAACGCCGUUAACCUCGAUGCACUUUUUCGCUCGAAACAAAACGGCAAGAAAAUCAUGCGCGCCCCCACGGCCUUACACUUGGAUUGGCCGCGAAAAGGAUAUAUAGAAACGAGAGUGAUGUACUGACGGGUGCGAUCAUACCAGCACUAAUGCACCGGAUCCCAUCAGAACUCAGCAGUUAAGCGUGCUUGGGCGAGAGUAGUACUAGGAUGGGUGACCUCCCGGGAAGUCCUGUGUGCACCCCUUUUAUUUUUUAAUUUUUUUUUAGCCUAAAACGAGUCUAAACUUGAAAACCUCAUAACUUUUGAACCGUGAGGAACUACGUCGCCCAUAGCACCAUUUCGGAAAGCCCCAGAAACCAUAAUGGGGUGAAUAGGGGGCGCAAUUUUCGGGCUCAAAUUCAGCCGUUUUGACCCUCAAACGGGCUGCGGAAAGUUAUGGCACGUAAAAAGAUCGAAAGCGGAUUCUCAAGGUGUUUUUGAUGCUUUCUUAACGCCGUUAACCUCGAUGCACUUUUCGCUCGAAACAAAACGGCAAGAAAAAUCAUGCGCGCCCCACGGCCUUACACUUGGAUUGGCCGCGAAAAGGAUAUAUAGAAACGAGAGUGAUGUACUGACGGGUGCGAUCAUACCAGCACUAAUGCACGGAUCCCAUCAGAACUCCGCAGUGAAAGCGUGCUUGGGCGAGAGUAGUACUAGGAUGGGUGACCUCCCGGGAAGUCCUCGUGUUGCACCCCUUUUUAUUUUUAAAUUUUUUUUUAGCCUAAAACGAGUCUAAACUUGAAAACCUCAUAACUUUUGAACCGUGAGGAACUACGUCGCCCAUAGCACCAUUUCCG
rnacentral:lncRNA from 1 species